rnacentral:misc_RNA from 1 species
UCUCCGUUGGUGAACCAGCGGAGGGAUCAUUACAGGACUCGCAAGACUCCUUACACCCUGUGAACCUUACUGUAUACGCGUUGCUUCGGCGGGCCCGCCCGCCGGCGGCAUACCACAUUCUGUUUCUCUGCGUUGGCAUCUCGAGAAAAAAGCAAAUAAGUUAAAACUUUCAACAACGGAUCUCUUGGUUCUG